rnacentral:rRNA from 1 species
GACGUAGGAUGCAAGCGUUGUCCGGAUUUAUUGGGCGUAAAGAGCUCGUAGGUGGUUUGUUAAGUCUGAUGUUAAAGACUGGGGCUCAACCUCGGAAAUGCAUUGGAUACUGGCAGACUUGAGUGUGGUAGAGGCAAUCGGAAUUCCAGGUGUAGCGGUGAAAUGCGUAGAUAUCUGGAAGAACACCGGUGGCGCAAGCGGAUUGCUGGGCCAUAACUGACACUGAGGAACGAAAAGCUAGGGGAGCAAAUGGG